CGUCGAACGGCUGCUGACGGCCUUUAGAAAUAGAGGUUUUCCCGCAAGGGACAGUAGUCGAGGUGCUGCAUGGCUGUCGUCAGCUCGUGUCGUGAGAUGUUGGGUUAAGUCCCGCAACGAGCGCAACCCUUGUCCUGUGUUGCAACUUACAGGCACUCUCAGGAGACCGCCAGCGAUAAGCUGGAGGAAGGUGGGGAUGACGUCAAGUCAUCAUGGCCUUUAUGUCCAGGGCUACACACGUGCUACAAUGGACGGUACAAACCGUCGCAAACCCGCGAGGGGGGAGCAAAUCGGAAAAAACCGUUCUCAGUUCGGAUUGCAGGCUGCAACCCGCCUGCAUGAAGCUGGAAUCGCUAGUAAUGGUAUAUCAGAACGAUACCGUGAAUACGUUCCCGGGCCUUGUACACACCGCCCGUCACAUCACGAAAGUGGGUUGUACUAGAAGUCUGCGCGCCAACCGCAAGGAGGCAGCGGCCCAAGGUAUGACUCAUGAUUGGGGUGAAGUCGUAACAAGGUAGGCGUAGCGAG
rnacentral:rRNA from 1 species